GGAUUGUGGCUCAGUGGUAGAGUGCUUGCCUAGCAAGUGUGAGCAAGGCCCUGGGUUCGAUCCUCAGCACCA
rnacentral:tRNA from 1 species